ACGGGGUCAGCAGGCGCGAAAACUCCGCAAUGUCGGAAACGAUGACGGGGGAAUCCCAAGUGUUGGAUACACUGUAUUCAACUUUUGCCAAGACUAAAAAUCUUGGAGAAUAAGCCCUGGGCAAGACCGGUGCCAGCAGCCGCGGUAACACCGGCGGGGCGAGUAGUGGCCACAAUUACUGGGUUUGAAGGGUUCGUAACCGGAUUGUUAAAUCCUGGGUUAAAUCCGCUAGCUCAACUAGCGGGCUGCUUGGGAGACUGGCAAUCUUGGGACUGGAAGAGGGCAAGGGAACUCCUUGGGUAGGGGCUAAAUCCUAUAAUCCAAGGAAGACCACCGGUAGCGAAGGCGCUUGCCUGGGACAGGUCCGACGGCGAGGAACGAAGCCCAAGGGAGUGAACGGGAUCAGAUACCCCGGUAAUCUUGGGUGUAAACGAUGUUGACUAGGUGUAGCCGUUACCAAGUGUGACGGCUGUGCCAAAGAGAAAUCGUUAAGUCAACCACCUGGGGAGUAUAGCCGCAAGGCCGAAACUUAAAGGAAUUGGCGGGGGAGCAC
rnacentral:rRNA from 1 species